rnacentral:rRNA from 1 species
AGAUUGAACGCUGGCGGCAGGCCUAACACAUGCAAGUCGAGCGGUAGAGAGGUGCUUGCAUCUCUUGAGAGCGGCGGACGGGUGAGUAAUGCCUAGGAAUCUGCCUAGUGGUGGGGGAUAACGUUCGGAAACGGACGCUAAUACCGCAUACGUCCUACGGGAGAAAGCGGGGGACCUUCGGGCCUCGCGCCAUUAGAUGAGCCUAGGUCGGAUUAGCUAGUUGGUGAGGUAAUGGCUCACCAAGGCGACGAUCCGUAACUGGUCUGAGAGGAUGAUCAGUCACACUGGAACUGAGACACGGUCCAGACUCCUACGGGAGCAGCAGUGGGAAUAUGGACAAUGGGCAAAGCCUGACUCCAGCCAUGCCGUGUGUGUAGAAGAAGGUCUACGGAUUAGGAAAGUCUAACGUUUUAAGGUAGGGAAGGUAAGGUUAGUAAACCUAAGUUACCGUUAGACCUAAGUUUGAACGUUACCGACAAG